GUCUUCGUGGUGUAGUGGUCAGCCCGCUCGACACGUAUUCGAGAGGUUUGAGGUUCGAGUCCUAGCGAAGACA
rnacentral:tRNA from 1 species